rnacentral:rRNA from 1 species
UACAGAGGGGGCAAGCGUUAAUCGGAGUUACUGGGCGUAAAGGGCGCGUAGGUGGUUGAAUAAGUUGUUUGUGAAAUACCCGGGCUUAACCUGGGAACUGCAAGCAAUACUGUUUGACUGGAGUACUGUAGAGGGUAGUGGAAUUUCCGGUGUAGCGGUGAAAUGCGUAGAGAUCGGAAGGAACACCAGUGGCGAAGGCGGCUACCUGGACAGAUACUGACACUGAGGCGCGAGAGCGUGGGGAGCAAACAGG